UACAGAGGUCUCAAGCGUUGUUCGGAUUCACUGGGCGUAAAGGGUGUGUAGGCGGCGAGGUAAGUCUAAAGUGAAAGCUCUAAGCUCAACUUAGAAAUUGCUCUAGAUACUAUCUCGCUAGAGGGUCGGAAAGGAGAUUGGAAUUCUCGGUGUAGCAGUGAAAUGCGUAGAUAUCGAGAGGAACAUCAGUGGCGUAAGCGAAUCUCUGGACGAAUCCUGACGCUGAGACACGAAAGCUAGGGUAGCAAACGGG
rnacentral:rRNA from 1 species